rnacentral:tRNA from 1 species
AAGGCCCUAGCUUAAUUAAAGCACCUGGGUUGCAUUUAGGAGAUGCGGGGUAGUAUCCUGCGGGUCUUA